GCAUAUCAAUAAGCGGAGGAAAAGAAACUAACAAGGAUUCCCCUAGUAACGGCGAGUGAAGAGGGAAAAGCCCAAAUUUGUAAUCUGGCUCUUUUAUAAGGGUCCGAGUUGUAAUUUUGAGAACUGUUUUCUGUGCUGGACCAUGUACAAGUCUGUUGAAAAACAGCAUCAUUGAGGGUGAUAAUCCCGUACGUGAUAUGGACUACCAGGGCAAUAUGAUACAGUCUCUAAGAGUCGAGUUGUUUGGGAAUGCAGCUCAAAGUGGGUGGUAAAUUCCAUCUAAGGCUAAAUAUAGGUGAGAGACCGAUAGCAAACAAGUACCGUGAGGGAAAGAUGAAAAGAACUUUGGAAAGAGAGUUAACAGUACGUGAAAUUGUUAAAAGGGAAACAUUUGAAGUUAGACUUGUUAUUGUUGGUUCAGCUUCUUUAUUGAGGUGUAUUCUGAUGAUUAACAGACCAGCAUCAAUUUUUGGGUGUUGGAUAAGGGUUUUGGGAAUGUGGCAGCUUCGGUUGUGUUAUAGACCAUUACUUUGAUACAAUGCUUAGGAUUGAGGAACGCAGUAAGCUUUGUUGCAGAUUUUUUCGGAAGUCUCCUUACUACGGAUGUUGGUGCAAUAGCUUUAAAUGACCCGUCUUGAAACACGGACC
rnacentral:rRNA from 1 species